CCUUUGAUUUUUCUUAAAAUUGUAUCAAUUUUUAGUUUAAUUGAUAAGUCUUAUUUAGAAACAAGACUCAUACUGCAAUUAAGGGGUAAACUCUCUCUAAGUUUGGUGUUCGAGGUUACAUGUUAUCUCAUUUUUUCCCCUUCAUUUUUGCUUCUUGAGUUUGUUAAAUAUGAGAUGUUGUAUAUAAUCUUAUUGUUAUGAUUGAUAAAUAAACUAUAUGUAAGUGGGUAUAAUCAAACUUUGAUUUCAUGUCUAACUCCACUGUCACUACAAGAAAACUUUGAUAAAUAAUUUCAAGUAUUUUAUGCAUUAAUCUUUUGCACUUGAUUUUAGAAAAAAUGGGACAAUGGUAGUAUAUAUUUGUCAAUCUAUUGAGUGAUCAGUAGUUAUUUAUUUUGUUUAGACAUUUAAUUUUGCAUAAUUUCAACUUUGAUCUUGGUGUUUGGGUCCAGCUCCUAUUGUAUUUGUUUGAACCAUCAUUCAACUACAUCAAACUCUUUGGUAUACAAAACAGUGUUAUUCCUUUGGUAUAUAAAAUUAAAGAAAUGAAUUUUAUCUUGGAUUUGUUGAAUUGAGUUGAGAUGCAAAAUUAUUGGUAAAUUGCCACACGAUCUAGUCUCUUUCACAAGAAUUGUCUAUUAUCUUGGAAGAUUAGUUUAUUUCUUGUUAAUUGUGGUGACUCAGUACACCAUUUGCUGUUACUUAUUCAUACAAUCCUAAGAGAAUGUGGUUUUGGUUUUGAAGUUCAGCCUCCUCUUAGCUAUAUGUAAUUAAGCAAAUUUAUGUUGGACUUCUCUUUUAGUCAUCUUGCAGAGUACUUCAGCUGAUACUUCAACCCGGCAGCAGCAAUCUGCAGGUUGUUUUCCUACCUUUAGUAUGCUCUCAGAUAAGGUUAUCUUUAGCAGGGAGAAAAUGAACUCCUUGGAGUUGAUGGCAAGUAUGACAGUAUGUCAAGUUUCCAGAAAAAACCAAAGGAAGUGAAUGUCAGAUUCCACAGUGCUUGCUUAUGUGUUUUCAGAGCUGAAUCGUCGGCAUAAUAGGGUAUAGGGAUGAUUCACUUGAAACUGUCAAAAGAAAUGAAGUCCAGUAUGGACUACCACUAAAAGUGGUGUCUUACAAGGAACUGUACAGAUGGACAAUGGACGAAAUAGUGAAGAUUAUUGGAUUAAAGAACAAUUGCACAUUUUGUGGUGUUUUCCAUCUUCAGGUAGAGCAGUUAUGCAUUUUCAAAUUGAUGAACUUAAUUUCUCUUUUUUCCUGCCCUUGUUUCUGGAUGCAGUAAUCUGCCCCUGGACUGAAGUGUUCAAUUUCAAUAGAGUUGAAUUUCUUGUGUGGAGAAAUUUCUUAACUUAAGCCAAAUUUAUAGUUUUCAUGCUUCCUUUAAUAGUAUAGCAGAUUCAUCAUAUAUCCUACCUAUGAAAAAAUAAUUGAGCAUUACAAAAUGCUAAAAGAUCUACUGAAGAGUGUUAGUCUCUCAGUCCAAUUUUUAUUUGCGAAGGUUAUGAGGUGAACCCAGUGAGGUAUGUUGUUCAAUUCAAGUAACUGUGUUAUGGUGCUGGAGCUUGCAAUUAUUUACCUAUUUUAGAUGGUGGAAUUGGUUUUAAUCAUUGUAGAGUUUUUAAUUUCUUGUCAACUCUCCAACUCAACUAUGACCAUAUAUGAUUUUGGAAGUCCUAAUAGAGUAGACAUUGUUGGAAGGCUCUAAUCGUGCUACUUUCUUGAAGGAGAAAAGCAAUCUCUUCACCGAGACAGACCCGUAAGGAUGCCACCCUACUGGUUGCAAAUCUGCAAAGGCAAUAGGUUUAUUCACGUUUGAUUGCUUUUGACUAUAUUCAACUUCCAAAUUUCGAUGUUGCUGCCGAUGCUACAGAAACCUUUAAGGUAGUGUUUUCUGCUAUUCAUUGCUCUCCAAUUAUAUUUGUUCAAUUAUAUUGCUCUCAAAUUUCGAUGGCAAUAGGUUUAUUCGUUCAAUUAUAUUGAUUUUAGUUUCUCACUGUUUUUUUUGUUAGACACAUCUGAUGGAACUCAUUGAGCAACUGGUUCCUGUCUCUAUUCUAUUUUAUUUUCUUGACUUUUAGACUAUAAAUGCUAGCCAUGGAUGAUUUUGUGUGACCAAGGUGAACGAUUUGCAGGUUUCCUUCGAAGUUGAAGAUGCUUUAAAUCAACCAUUUCCUGAAGCACAAUUUCCUGUCUCUAUUCGUUUCUUUCAAGAUCUUCUGAUAAACUUGAAGAUAAGUUCAUUACAAUGCAUGUAGACUCCCUGAUUUGAGUUUCAUUGCAGUAUACAGAAUCUAUUACAUUGGAUAUGUCUCGUGUGUAUAUUUUGCUUUUGGGGUUUUAUAAAUUUGAUUUCCAAUCUUCAUUCUCUGUUGACUAUUUCUUUUUCCUUUUCAUGUGAGCUUUCUGAUUCAUAAUAAUGUGGCAUUUCUCUUGCUAUAUUUUUUUGGUUUUAGUUCUUUGUUGAAUUCAACUCAAAGCUAUUGGAAUCUAACAAUUACAUCACCAGAAGACAAGCUGUCAAGUUUGACCUAACAGAAUCUUGUGGAAAAGCAUGAAUUUGUUUUUGAUGUAGUGCUGAAUGAAGAGGUCUCAAAUGAUGAGGUUUAUCACGAAACUAUGAAGCCCAUUGUUCCAAUAAUUUUUCAGCGGACCAAAGCAACUUGUUUUGCAUAUGGGCAAACUGGUAAAUAUAGCUUUGUUCAUAUCUCUGAUGAAAUCUGUUGCAACCUUUCUAAAUCAGGUAUGGGAAGGUGUUCAAGUCACAUUUAUUUGGAAGUCCUACAAUUGUGUCCAUAGAUGCAGAAGUGAGUAGAUUUGUUUUGCAAAGUGAUGGCAAGGCUUUUGUGCCUUCUUACCCGAAAUCUCUCACUGGGUUGAUGGGUAAGUCUUCUAUAUUGCUCAUCACUGGAAGCUUGCAAAGGAGAAUUCAUGGCCUCAUAGGGUCUUUCUUCAAAUCCUCACAUCUCAAAGCUCAGAUCACCCAAGACAGGCACAAGUAUCUCCAACAAUCUAUGGAGGAUUGGAGAGAUGAUCACCCCAUAUACAUCCAAGAUGAAGCACAACAUGUUUGCUCUGUCUCUCUCUUCCCAAAAGAAAAAUGAGUGCUAUUUCUCUAGUACCAUCCUAAUCACAAUGUAUCAAGUAUUUGUUACAAAUAGAAAUAGUUGUUAAUUAACUAUUUGUUAGUUUCACAUUAUGCUUGGUUGAUAAUUGGCAAGAGGAGAACUUGAAACUGAAGAGACUCAAAGAUGAGCUCAGAGAGCCACUGUGUUGGACUGAUUAUUUACCUCUUCCAUUCACCGAAACCGUGAUUACAGAAACUCUGAGGAUGGGAAACGUAAUUGUAGGAGUCACUACAAGAAAAAUAGGAUAUUAGUAAAUGAUAUCCAUUCUUUCAAUCAACUAAACUUAAAUGGAAGCCCACUUGGGAGGACAAGAAAAGGGUUGCUGCAACACAUUGUUGCAGGAUUUGAUGAGAGAAGAUUUGAGAAAUUUUUUUCAGAGUCCCUUUUGCUUUCUUGAUCCUAAAAUAGCUACAGUGCUCUUUCCCAGUUUCCC